UGUGGGUCCAGGGCAGAAGGGGCAGCCGGCUUGGGGCCCUUGGGCUCCAGCUCCCGCCUGAUCCUCAUUUUCCUGUAAAGACAGGGGCACGUGUGGCAGGGUCUUCUCCCUCCUGCGGCGGGGAAUGGGCUGUGACUAGGGUGCUGGUGAAAAGAGUUCUUAAAAAUCAUGAGCCCGAGGUAGACUGAUCACAUGACUUCGGUCCUUUAGGCUCCUAUAAAGAACAAGGGCCUUCUCCAAUAUGUUCCCAACUCAACCAUCCCACUCUGAGAUCCUUCCAUUUUAAAGAUCAUGGAGUGGAGACACAGGUUUUGACAGCACGAAGAUGCACCCAAGCCUCCAUUUCCAGCCCACACAGCAGCAGGUGGGCAGCAGGUGGAAUCCCCAGAGGUGACACGGCUGGAUCAUGAGAGCUGAAGCUAAUCGGUUCGCCCUGGUGUGACUAAACGGUGUGGUGGCUGUAGGCUGGCAGAGGCAGGUCACUGGACUGUGCCCUGGAAGGGUCAUCAUCCCUGCAGACCCUUCCCCCUGCUCUGCCUCCCAACUGCCAGGGGGUGAGCAGCUUCCCUCUGCCACGCCCCAUGGACCCAGCUGACCACGCACUGGACUUCUGAAAUUUAUAAACUUGAAAUAAACUUUUCCUGCUCUAA